rnacentral:tRNA from 1 species
GGGCCCGUGGUCUAGCGGUUAAGAAGGGUUAGAUGCCCUUAACAUACGCCACCCUUACAAGGUGGAGAUCCCGAGUUCGAGUCUCGGCGGGCCCACCA